AAAUUGAAGAGUUUGAUCAUGGCUCAGAUUGAACGCUGGCGGCAGGCCUAACACAUGCAAGUCGAACGGUAACAGGAAGCAGCUUGCUGCUUUGCUGACGAGUGGCGG
rnacentral:rRNA from 4 species